rnacentral:rRNA from 1 species
ACUCCUACGGGAGGCAGCAGUGGGGAAUCUUGGACAAUGGGGGCGAACCCUGAUCCAGCCAUGCCGCGUGAGUGAUGAAGGCCCUAGGGUCGUAAAGCUCUUUCGCCUGUGAUGAUAAUGACAGUAGCAGGUAAAGAAACCCCGGCUAACUCCGUGCCAGCAGCCGCGGUAAUACGGAGGGGGUUAGCGUUGUUCGGAAUUACUGGGGCGUAAAGCGCGCGUAGGCGGACUAUUAAGUCAGGGGUGAAAUCCCGGGGCUCAACCCCGGAACUGCCCUUGAUACUGGUAGUCUUGAGUUCGAGAGAGGUGAGUGGAAUUCCGAGUGUAGAGGUGAAAUUCGUAGAUAUUCGGAGGAACACCAGUGGCGAAGGCGGCUCACUGGCUCGAUACUGACGCUGAGGUGCGAAAGUGUGGGGAGCAAACAGGAUUAGAUACCCUGGUAGCGACUGA